CAAGGGCAGAUAACUCUUUUUCGAAUCCGGUGACCUAUGAUUUUUAUUGCAUUUUUUUGUUUCUUAGAUGAUUGUCCUUCAAUAUCCAAAGUUUAAAGAAAUUCUGUUAUUGGGAAAAUUUUCGCCAAUCUCAUAUACAGGGAAUUCUAGCGUACACCUUUAAGCUUGAGUUCACUCGAAUGUCUAUUUUCACCAUACAAAUAAAAUUGAAUGAAAAUGUUUGCAAAUUGCAUCAAAGGAAGCAAUUGCUGAUCAAUAACUGUGCAGAAUGUGUUGUAAGGUCUAACAGUUAACUCUUCUUAGGACUGUUAGGAUCCUUAUUUAUGUUUUUGAUCAUUCAUUGGAGUUGUGGAAAUGAAUUUUCAAAUAACUACAAAGAAUGGGGAUGGGGUGGGGGAGGGGGAGGUGGGCGGCGGGGUGGGGGGUUACAUGGCUGAGUGGUUAAGGUCAGUGACUUCAAAUCACUUGCCUCUCACUGAUUUAGGUUUGAGCCUUACUCGUGGCAUUGAAUUCUUUGUAUGUGGAAGCCAUACAGCUGGCUUACGGAAGGCCGGUUGUUCUACCCAGGUGCCCGUUCAUGAUGAAAUAAUGAACCUGAGGUCUUCCUCCACCAUCAAAGCUGGAAAGUCACCAUAUGACCCAUAAGUGUGUGGGUGCAACAUUAAACCCAACAAAAACAAAUAACUACACAAAAAUGUUCACUAUCAUCAUGCAACAAAAGGCUGAAGGUCAAGGUCACACUUGAAGGUUUUUAAAAAGUCCAAUGUCCACCCCAUAUUUUCUAAACCAUAGAUAAAACAAUUUUCAUAAAACCAGCAUUAGUUAAUUACUUCCGAAAGAUGAUGAGCAGAAGGCACAGCCAAGGUCACUAGCUCUAACGUAAGGUCAAACUUAAAGGUCAUUUUUCAAAUAGCUUUAUUAUACGCUUACCAAAGUAUGAUGAGAUUUAUAAGAACCAAAUUGUCCAAUUUCAGAAUCCCUGCUAUGCCCCAUCCCAUCUCACAAAUAUCAGGUCCCAUAACAGAGACUUAUUUUGACAAAUGUUUUCCCCUUUUCUCUUAAAAUAUUUCCCAUAAUUGCUAUUUCUUUUAAUAUUUCUGAAAACAAUGUUUGCAUUUGAUUGAAAUGUCACACAGAUCUUUGAGGUCAUUAUUAAGUUUAUACAUCUUUAUUUAAUCAAAAAUUCUCACAUUUUUGACUUGUAAAAAUGUGGCAAAAUUGUUGUUUUCUUUGAACAUCUCUGAAACCAUUGAACAUAUUGCAUACUCAUUAGGAACUACAAAACAGGUUUAACUGAUCAAAAUUCAAGUUCACAUAGCAAGUCGAAUAACUCUGACUUCCGUUUUUGACAAAAGUUCCCUUUUUUGCACUUCAGAAAUGUCAAGAACAUAGAAUUUUCUUUUAUACUAUUAAAGCCUUCUUGCACUGGAUUGAAAAUUUACAUUUGUCUUUGAUCAUAAUGUAAUUAUACACAUCACAUGUUUUUUUUAUUUCACUCAGCUAGACCAGAUUUUAUGACUUUUGACUUGAAAUAUGCAUAAAGGAUCUAAAGGUUUGUGUCGCGUGUAUCUCAAUGAACUAUUUAUUCUAGGUUAAUGAUAGGAAUGUUAUUCAGCAUUGAAAGUUGUGCACCUUGAAUUUUUUUUUUGAUUUCUCUCAGCCAGACCAGAGUUAUGGAUCUUGAUAUAGAGUCUAAAUAGGACCUAAAAGUUAGUUUCACAGGUAUCUCAAAACGAUUUGGUCAAGAGUCAUAAAAUGUUAUGGGAUUGUUAUUCAGAAUAUAGUUAUACCUCUUAUGAUAGCUUAUACAUCAGAUGUGUUUGUUGUAAAUUUCUGAUAAUAUCAUUAUCCUUAAAGGAAUUACUUAUCAAACUGAACUGUUAUAUAGCCGAAACAAUGUAGUGUUUGCAAUCAUCAUAUUGCAGAAUAAUUCUGUUUUCUUUUUUUGCACCGUAAAACCCAAAUAAAUAAAUUUUUAAUUAGUUCAGGUAUUGAUUGUAAAGAAAGGUUGAGAAUAUUAGCUCAAAUUGUUAGAAAAUCAACUUUGUGAUGUAGUAUUAUCUAAAUAAAAAGAAAAAUGAUGAA